rnacentral:rRNA from 1 species
UGAUGAACGUCUUAGGAUUGUAAAACACUUUCAGCAAGGGAAAAAAUUAUAUAAAUAAUACUUAUAUUAACUGAUAUUACCUGCAAAAGAAGUACCGGCUAACUCCGUGCCAGCAGCCGCGGUAAUACGGAGGGUACAAGCGUUAAUCGGAAUUAUUGGGCGUAAAGAGUACGUAGGUGGUAUAUUAAGUCAGAUGUGAAAUACUUAAGCUUAACUUAAGAACUGCAUUUGAAACUAAUAAACUAGAGUUUUAUAGAGGGGAGUAGAAUUCCAAGUGUAGCGGUGAAAUGCGUAGAUAUUUGGAGGAAUACCAGAGGCGAAGGCGACUCCCUGGGUAAUAACUGACACUGAGGUACGAAAGCUUGGGGAGCAAACAGGAUUAGAUACCCUGGUAGUCCAUGCUGUAAACGAUGUCAAUUUGAAGAUUGUAAUAUUAUUAUUUUUUAUAAUUUUCGUAGCUAACGCAUUAAAUUGACCGCCUGGGGAUUACGACCGCAAGGUUAAAACUCAAAUGAAUUGACGGGGACCCGCACAAGCGGUGGAGCAUGUGGUUCUAAUUUCGAUACAACGCGAAAAAACCUUACCUACUCUUGACAUCUAUAAGUAUU